AGAAGACAGGGCAGUACCUAGUGGGAUGAAGAAGCUAUGCAAAUAAACAUGGACUAAUCCAUUACCAUGCACUAUAAUGGAUGGACAUCCUGGUCACUGUGGAGCAGUAACAACUUUACCUAGUGACUGAAGCAAGAUGAGGUGAAGACCCAGAAAUUUCAGAGCAGUACACACCAUAGAAGCAGGAUAUGUCAGCUUAAUAAAUAGGCCAUGUUUAAGGAUA